UAAUUAAGCGGAGGAAAAGAAACCAACUAGGAUUCCCCCAGUAAGGGCGACUGAAGCGGGAUGAGCUCACAGUGUGAAUCGGCACCUUUCUGGUGCUGAAUUGUGGUCUGUGGACGCGGGCGCUCGUUGUGCCGGGCUAAGUUCCUUGGAAGAGGACAGCUGAGAGGGUGAUACUCCCGUAUGCCCGGCCAUCAAGCCUGUGUCGAAGAGUCGAGUUGCUUGGGAUUGCAGCUCUAAGUGGGUGGUAAAUUCCAUCUAAGGCUAAAUAUUGGUGGGAGACCGAUAGCGCACAAGUACCGUGAGGGAAAGAUGCAAAGGACUUUGAAAAGAGAGUUAAAGAGUACCUGAAAUUGCUGAAACGGAAGCGAAGGAAACCAGUGUCGAGCGACGUCAUACUUCCCCCUCUGCUUGCGGGGUGGGGCACUGUGGCUAGCGUCUGCCAGGCUUGGUUAGGCCGACCGGAUACCGCUUGCGGUGUGGUUGGCCUGACUGAGGCCCUGGCGAAAUGGUUUUCUUCUCCCG
rnacentral:rRNA from 1 species